UAAAUGACCGAGGUGAGCCGCACAUUAAGCACUGCAUUCUCAAAAAAUUAAAACAGCAUCAACUUUGGAGAGCAGCCAAAAUGCCCGGAACAAAAGGUAAUAAAUCGGACAAGAAGUCAACUACUAAGCAACCUCAGAGUCCUAAAGAACAGCCGAAGAAAGGUGAUCAGAAAGGAGACGAUAACAAGAAGCAAGGAGGACAGCCGAAGGGAGAGAAGCAGUAACUUCCAGGCAUUUGUGAAGAUGGCUUUGGAGACUCUGCUGGGGUCCUGUCACCGUAAACAUGGGGGUCCACGGGGAAGACAGUGCUGAGCGUCCCUCCCCUCAGCACUUUACCUCCUCCACUGAUGGGAGCAGCUGUGCAGUCCUGCAACACAUCUGUAUGCCUCUCACAGGAGCAGAAACCUGAUCUCCAUCAUGAUCUGUUGCAUCCUGAUCCUCUCGACCUUUCUGUCCAACUCUUCCUCACACGAAAUUAGGAAAACAUUUAUCUGAAGACAAAAUUACUUGUCGCAACUUGCCCUUGAAACCCACCCUCGCCACUUAACAAUGCCAACUGUUUUUGUAAAUAAGGAAUGAAAUAAAAAAUAUAUUAAUUACA